rnacentral:rRNA from 1 species
CCUACGGGCGGCUGCAGUGGGGAAUAUUGCACAAUGGGCGCAAGCCUGAUGCAGCCAUGCCGCGUGUGUGAAGAAGGCCUUCGGGUUGUAAAGCACUUUCAGCGGGGAGGAAGGCGGUGAGGUUAAUAACCUCAUCGAUUGACGUUACCCGCAGAAGAAGCACCGGCUAACUCCGUGCCAGCAGCCGCGGUAAUACGGAGGGUGCAAGCGUUAAUCGGAAUUACUGGGCGUAAAGCGCACGCAGGCGGUCUGUCAAGUCGGAUGUGAAAUUCCCGGGCUCAACCUGGGAACUGCAUUCGAAACUGGCAGGCUAGAGUCUUGUAGAGGGGGGUAGAAUUCCAGGUGUAGCGGUGAAAUGCGUAGAGAUCUGGAGGAAUACCGGUGGCGAAGGCGGCCCCCUGGACAAAGACUGGCGCUCAGGUGCGAAAGCGUGGGGAGCAAACAGGAUUAGAUACCCGGGUAGUC